rnacentral:rRNA from 1 species
GUGGGGAAUAUUGGGCAAUGGGCGCAAGCCUGACCCAGCAACGCCGCGUGAAGGAAGAAGGCUUUCGGGUUGUAAACUUCUUUGACAGGGGAAGAGACGAAGACGGUACCCUGAAAACAAGCCACGGCUAACUACGUGCCAGCAGCCGCGGUAAUACGUAGGUGGCGAGCGUUGUCCGGAUUUACUGGGUGUAAAGGGCGUGCAGCCGGGAGUACAAGUCAGAUGUGAAAUCCCGCGGCUCAACCGCGGAACUGCAUUUGAAACUGUAUUUCUUGAGUACUGGAGAGGCAGACGGAAUUCCUAGUGUAGCGGUGAAAUGCGUAGAUAUUAGGAGGAACACCAGUGGCGAAGGCGGUCUGCUGGACAGCAACUGACGGUGAGGCGCGAAAGCGUGGGGAGCAAACAGGA